rnacentral:rRNA from 1 species
CCUUGGGCAAAUCCUGUCGCUUAACGGCAGGAAUUCUGAGGAUACUGUCAGACUUGAGGUCGAGAGAGGUCGGAGGUACUCCUGGGGUAGCGGUGAAAUGCUAUAAUCCUGGGGGGACCACCAGUGGCGAAAGCGUCCGACCAGAGCGAGCCUGACGGUAAGGGACGAAAGCCAGGGGAGCGAAUGGGAUUAGAUACCCCGGUAGUCCUGGCCGUAAACGCUGUGGGCUAGGUGUUGCAUGCUCUACGAGGGCAUGCAGUGCCGAAGAGAAGUAGAUAAGCCUACCGCCUGGGAAGUACUAUCGCAAGAUAGAAACUUAAAGGAAUUGGCGGGGGAGCACCACAAGGGGUGAAGUCUGCGGUUUAAUUGGAUUCAACGCCGGAAAUCUCACUGGAGGCGACGGCAGAAUGACAGCCAAGCUGAUGACUUUGCUUGACGAGACGAGAGGAGGUGCAUGGCCGUCGUCAGCUCGUACCGUAAGGCGUCCUGUUAAGUCAGGCAACGAGCGAGACCCGUGCCCUUAUUUGUCAUCUGACCCCUGCGGGGGUCAAGACCCAUUAAGGGGACCGCUGCUGAUAAAGCGGAGGAAGGAGCGAGCAACGAUAGGUCAGUAUGCCCCGAAUCCUUCAGGCUACACGCGGACUGCAAUGGCUAGUACAAUGGGCCCCAACUCCGAAAGGAGAAGGAAAUCCCGAAAGCUAGUCUUAGUUCGGAUUGUGGGCUGUAAAUCGCCCACAUGAAGCCGGAAUCCCUAGUAAUCGCG